UACGAAGGGGGCUAGCGUUGCUCGGAAUUACUGGGCGUAAAGCGCACGUAGGCGGUCUUUUAAGUCGGGGGUGAAAUCCUGGAGCUCAACUCCAGAACUGCCUUCGAUACUGGAAGACUCGAGUCCGGGAGAGGUGAGUGGAACUGCGAGUGUAGAGGUGAAAUUCGUAGAUAUUCGCAAGAACACCAGUGGCGAAGGUGGCUCACUGGCCCGGUACUGACGCUGAGGUGCGAAAGCGUGGGGAGCAAACAGG
rnacentral:rRNA from 1 species